AUUGAACGCUGGCGGCAGGCCUAACACAUGCAAGUCGAAUGGUAACAGGAAACAGCUUGCUGUUUCGCUGACGAGUGGCGGACGGGUGAGAAAUGUCUGGGAAACUGCCUGAUGGAGGGGGAUAACUACUGGAAACGGUAGCUAAUACCGCAUAACGUCGCAAGACCAAAGAGGGGGACCUUCGGGCGUCUUGCCAUGAGGUGUGCCCAGGUGGGAUUAGCUUGUAGGGGGGGUAAUGAUACACCUAGUCGGACAUCCGUAGGUGGUGUGAGAGGAUGGCCGGCCACACUGGAACUGGGACACGGUCCUGGCUCCUGCGGGAGGCAGCAGUGUGGAAUAUUGCACAGUGGGCGCAAGCCUGAUGCAGCCAUGCCGCGUGUAUGAAGAAGGCCUUCGGGUUGUAAAGUACUUUCAGCGGGGAGGAAGGGAGUAAAGUUAAUACCUUUGCUCAUUGACGUUACCCGCAGAAGAAGCACCGGCUAACUCCGUG
rnacentral:rRNA from 1 species